rnacentral:ncRNA from 1 species
ACCAAGGAGUCUAACAUGUGCGCGAGCCGCGGGGCAGUACGAAACCCGUAAGGCGAAAUGAAGGUGAACGCCGGCGCGGUCCGGCGGAGGUUGGAUCCCGUCCCGUCGGGGCGGGCGCACUACCGGCCGAUCUUCUCCGCCCUGUCGGCGAGGUCGAGCGAGAGCGUGCAAGUCGGGACCCGAAAGAUGGUGAACUAUGCCUGAGGAGGUUGAAGCCAGAGGAAACUCUGGUGGAGGACCGUAGCGAUUCUGACGUGCAAAUCGAUCGUCAAAUUUGGGUAUAGGGGCGAAAGACUAAUCGAACCGUCUAGUAGCUGGUUCCCUUCGAAGUUUCCCUCAGGAUAGCUGGCGCUCUGUCGCAGUUUUAUCUGGUAAAGCGAAUGAUUAGAGGUCUUG